rnacentral:rRNA from 1 species
AACGAACGCUGGCGGCAUGCCUAACACAUGCAAGUCGAACGAGAUCUUCGGGUCUAGUGGCGCACGGGUGCGUAACGCGUGGGAAUCUGCCCUUGGGUUCGGAAUAACAGCUGGAAACGGCUGCUAAUCCCGGAUGAUAUCGCGAGAACAAAGAUUUAUCGCCUGAGGAUGAGCCCGGGUUGGAUUAGGUAGUUGGUGGGGGAAAGGCCUACCAAGCCGACGAUCCAUAGCUGGUCUGGGAGGAUGAUCAGCCACACUGGGACUGAGACACGGCCCAGACUCCUACGGGAGGCAGCAGUGGGGAAUAUUGGACAAUGGGCGCAAGCCUGAUCCAGCAAUGCCGCGUGAGUGAUGAAGGCCCUAGGGUUGUAAAGCUCUUUUACCCGGGAAGAUAAUGACUGUACCGGGAGAAUAAGCCCCGGCUAACUCCGUGCCAGCAGCCGCCGUAA